UACGUAGGUGGCAAGCGUUGUCCGGAUUUACUGGGCGUAAAGAGCGCGCAGGCGGUCGUUCAAGUCGCGUGUGAAAGCCCCCGGCUCAACUGGGGAGGGUCACGCGAUACUGAUCGACUCGAAGGCAGGAGAGGGUAGUGGAAUUCCCAGUGUAGCGGUGAAAUGCGUAGAUAUUGGGAGGAACACCAGUGGCGAAGGCGGCUCACUGGACCGGUACUGACGCUGAGGCGCGAAAGCGUGGGGAGCAAACAGG
rnacentral:rRNA from 1 species